GACGAACGCUGGCGGCGUGCCUAAUACAUGCAAGUAGGACGCAGUUGCGAACGGGUGAGUAACGCGUAGGUAACUACCUAUUAGAGGGGGAUAACUAUUGGAAACGAUAGCUAAUACCGCAUACUAGUAGAUGGACCUGCGUUGUAUUAGCUAGUAGGUAGGGUAAUGGCCUACCUAGGCAACGAUACAUAGCCGACCUGAGAGGGUGAUCGGGCACGCUGGGACUAAGACAGGGCCCAGAGUCAUACGGGGGGCAGCGGUAGGGGAACUUCGGCAAUGGGGGGAACCCUGACCGGGCCACGCCGCGAGAGUGAAGAAGGUUUUCGGAGCGUAGAGCUCUGUUGUUAAGGAAGCGGUACUUAGCCAGAAAGGGACGGCUAACUACGUGCCAGCAGCCGCGGUAAUUC
rnacentral:rRNA from 1 species